UACGAAGGGGGCUAGCGUUGCUCGGAUUGACUGGGCGUAAGGGCGCGUAGGCGGUUCGUACAGUCAGACGUGAAAUUCCUGGGCUCAACCUGGGGGCUGCGUUUGAUACGUGCGGACUUGAGUGCGGAAGAGGGUCGUGGAAUUCCCAGUGUAGAGGUGAAAUUCGUAGAUAUUGGGAAGAACACCGGUGGCGAAGGCGGCGACCUGGUCCGGUACUGACGCUGAGGUGCGAAAGCGUGGGGAGCAAACAGG
rnacentral:rRNA from 1 species